rnacentral:lncRNA from 1 species
AUGACGUCCUUGGUUGAGACGAUCCCCUAGCUGUCGGUAUGUACCUGCACACUGUUUGUACCACAAUCCAAGUUAAUCAACAUCUUAUAAGUUAUCAAUCUGAUCCAUCCUUUUCAUUACAUUGUUUUCACAGACUCUUCUUCUCGCCAUGAGGGCCAAGGUUUGUGUUUUGUAUUUAUAUUCACAUAAAGACUGUUUUAAGUGAUGCUAGCACUUGCUAGCAAGCAAGCAGUGGCCGUCGUAACAUAUUUACUAAAGCAUUUCACCCAAAGAUAUGUUUUUUCAGUAUUCAUAUAGAUAAAUUUGUUUGUGUAUACCAUUUUUUGGCCAAAAUUGAAUGUAUGGCUGGAACAGUUAAAUAAUAUCUUGUGUUUCUCUGUCGUAGUGGAGAAAGAAGCGCAUGCGCAGGUGAGUUUUAAUGGCUCGUGGUUUUAGCUGUGCAGUAUUAACAUGUCUAUUCCAGUUAAAACUCUUAUUUUGAGGAUAUUUAGCUAACAAAAUUGUGUCAUGUUCCAGACUGAAGCGCAAAAGGAGAAAGAUGAGGCAGAGGUCUAAGUAAACAGUCCUCUCCGCCCUGGCUCUGUGACAGCACAUGUUACUAACAGCCAGACCAGUAAGUUCAACUGGAGACCCAGGACCCUUCCGUUGACAACAAGGAGGCCAGUGGCACCAUGAUCAACCUGAGGUGGUGAAGCUGCAGCAGCUGAGUGAUGCUGGAGAGCUGAUUCAAGACCUGCUGCUUUAUAAGCUUCAACCUGGGACUUUCUGGACUCUUUGUUCUUGAUUCCUCAACUUUUGUCACGUUUGUGUUUAUACUUUGAUUAAAGGUUUUGGUUUAGAAAACAACGGAUUUUGGUUUUUGUUCCUUUUUUUCAAA